UGGUAUAAAGCGUUUCCCGCACACACUGCAUUCAUAGGGCCUCUCCCCUGUGUGGAUUCUCUGAUGUAUAGAAAGGUCUGAGCUGGUAAUAAAGCUUUUCCACACUCACGGCAUUCAUAGGCCUCUCCCCUGUGGGUUCUCUCAUGUUGGGAAAGGCCUGAAGCUAGUGAAGCUUUUCCCACACUGCGACAUUCAUAGGGCCUCUCCCCUGUGUGGAUUUUCUGAGUUUUAGAAAGGGCUGAGCUGCAAGUGAAGUUUUUUCCCACUCACUGCAUGUAUUUUUCCACUUUCCCAUGAGGAUUUCCUGCUGUGUUGUGGUUUCCUUGACGAUCUUCUGAGUUCCCCGACAG